rnacentral:lncRNA from 1 species
AACCUUAAAGGGACAUCUGCCUUUCAUUGAGAGGGUGAUCCGGCUCCCGGCGCCAAUUCCCUAAGGUGGUAGGAACGCGGGCGAGGGCCGGACCUUGCGGGGGUGUCCUUAGCCCAGUGGCUCCGCCUUCGCACCCCUCGCUUCUCCCUGGGUCUGGGCACCCAGGCGCUUUCAAAGUGCCGGCGCUCCUCGGCCAGUAAGCGGACGGGGGCGGCUUUCCUGAGGUCCGAUUGCGUAGAAGGGAUCAGUCCGUCUAUAAAAAGGAAAAACUUUAUCCCUGGUCAGCUUGAAGUAUUGCUCUGUAAACUGAUCCAUCCUGCUGAUUUUUCAAAGUCUGCAGAAGCCUGAGUGGCCUGUU